GGAGGGGUGCCCGGGUGGUGUUAUUCCCGCCCCUGCAGCAGUGGGAGGAGCCUCAGGUCCCUCCUGCCUGCCUGAUUGCUGCUGGCUGUGCUGCGGGGCCUGCUCGCCACGCGGCCGGGCCUGCUCCCCGCGGUCAGGCCUAGCUCCGGGGAAUCCAUUGCCAUCCAGAGAAUCCAUGACCUCUGCGGGCUGAUUGUAGCUGCUGUUACGAAGCAUUCCAUUGCCUUACCUUGCACAAACUUUUGGAGUCUAAAUGCAUGCACAGAGGACAGUUGAAGACUUGGCAUCUUUUAGAUCUAGUAUGCUGUGACUGGCAGUUCCUCUGAAUGCAAAGGAACAGCUGUUUUCCCUGGUCAAGAAACCAAAAAGGCUACAUUCAAGGACUCUUUAUUCGUCUACAUGGCCUAAGGACAGACAGCACUUCUAAAAGGAAAAACCUACCACAGAAGUUCACAGGUUGGCUAUGCUGACAUUUCCUGAGGAAUCUCAUUUAGGAAGCUGAAGAUAAAGACAUCUUACGGCAGGUUUGAUUACUUGAAGUGUUUUUUUAAAAUUCUGAAUCGGAAUCAUCCAAAACAAAAAAGGUAGCCUAGUUACUUUUCCACCCAUGCCAUGCUCCAAAAGUACCAAGACAACUCCUAGAUCUCCUAGGUCCUUUACUUUCUAAUUUUAAAAUUUUCCUUCUUGAUUUUGAACCUAGUCCUUCAGUCUGAAGUACUCAAAUUCAUCUUCAACUACAAACAACAUGAAGAAGAACCCAACUUGUAUGAUUUCUGGUACAUUAGGCAAUCAUCUGUCCACUGAACCCCAUAGUGUUUCAAGCUUUUACCAACUUAUCAGCAACAGUUAAGACAUGGAACAGUGAAUUUGUUCAUCAAAAUGUACCUAAUGCCUCAGACAAAUGGACUUAGGGGUAGAGUGUCUGAAUGCCAAAUGAGACACUUUGCAUCUGUUCUGUCUGUUCAACAAGAAUGUAUAAUCUCUGAUGAGGUCCAAAGGGUUGGAAAUUCAGUUGUUGAAGUCCUAAGGUAUAAUACUAUGAACAUAGGAUCAACUUUGUAAAGAUACCAGUAUGCAGGGAAGUGUAAUUGAAGGUGGCAAGCAGCUUGAACUAUGGCCAGUACAUUACAGUAACUGAUGGUCAGAGCUCUUUCUUGCUAGUACUGAGAAUGCCACUUUGGAUAGACUUGCAGAACUGAUGUGACAAGUUUGCUCUCUUAAAUUUCAUCAGCAUUUCACAGAAUGGCAGUUUCCCUUAAUCCAACAUUUGUUUUCAGAUCAGCAAGUCUUAGGAACAAUUUUAUUCUGAGAAUUCCACUAGGUAAAUUAAGAUCAGACAGAACAGAGAUAGGUGGACAAGCUUAGCUGCUAACUCCUACACUUACCCCAUGACCUGAACAGACUUUUCCAUUAGAUCCAAUGGGACAGCUGCUUAUAUUCAAGGACUGAAUUGGCAGGCACUUUUUGUCCAGACACAUCAUUUGAGGUCCACAUGGAGCUCCA